rnacentral:rRNA from 1 species
AUCGCUAGUAAUCGCGAAUCAGAAUGUCGCGGUGAAUACGUUCCCGGGCCUUGUACACACCGCCCGUCACACCAUGGGAGUGGGUUGCACCAGAAGUAGCUAGUCUAACCUUCGGGGGGACGGUUACCACGGUGUGAUUCAUGACUGGGGUGAAGUCGUAACAAGGUAGCCGUAGGGGAACCUGCGGCUGGAUCACCUCCUUAA